AAAUUUCAUUUGGUCACGUGUCAUUACAUGGAUUUUUCUGUGUCAGGUUAUUUUUGGCCCACGCUGAGUAUGGCCAAGAAAUCUGAAGUGAGCGGCCGGAUGGAGAUACCUUAUCUCUUUCUUUUUAUCACUUUAACUUUACCUCACAGGCUCACACAUCUCCCUCUCACCUCUUGUAUCUCCCUUUAUUCUCUUCCCUUAUCGUAACUAAAAAAACCCUAGCUGUUUCUCCCCAAGAACAAAGGGGUUGAAUUAUUAAUCGAAUAAGAAAUCUCAAACCAUGACUAAAUCAUGUCUUUAUAUUAUUAUUUUGGUUCUAAAACCAAUUUCAUCUUCAUCUAAACUCAGAAGUAAGUAGUGGUUGAAGUAAUUUCUUUCCAUCUCAGAAAAUCCGAUAAUUGAUUAUCCAGAAUUGAAGAGAUGGAUGGAAAUAGAGGAGCUAAUCUAAGAACAGUAGAAGAAGUGAUUUUAAAGGUAGAAGAGCUGAAAUACUUUAAUCUCUCACUUCUGAGAGCUGCUCAAGAAGCCUGUUGUACUUGAUAAGAAGUCAGUUCAAUUUCCCAAUCCUUGAUGUGGAGUUGUUUCUGGCGCUCAUCUGUUAACUUUAUGGAGAGACUUUUUUAACUAAGAUUGUUCAUCAGAAAUAUGCUUGAGUAUUACCAGAACGACGCUUGAAAUGAUUAGGAGGGAUUUGCUCACUGGACAUGGGCACCUUACCUUCUAUGGUAACUAGUUUAAAAUCCUGCUAUGAAGAGGAUUGAUGGUGGCAAGGUGACUGCUCGCAUACUACAGUUUAUGACUAUUGGAAAGAAUAGCACUCCACAAAAGGUAAAUCUAGUUUGAUUGUCUUAAUCCAAAUUGGUAAUCUCAUCUAUUUCUGGAAAAAGAUUUGUUUGAGAUUAGCUACACCCAUUAAUGUGGUCAGUCAUCUAAUUACAUUUUCUCAUUAAACCAUGUUUACAAUCUUUUCUUACCAUGUUCUUGGUCCUGUCCAUUGCAUCUGGACCCAUAUUCCUCGAUCUGUGAGUAGUUGUGUAGUUAACAUUUCAAGAAUAUCCAAAUCAAUUCACUUGUAGCUAUGAUAGGUAACAAUUUGUUCUUAUCACAUGAAUUCGGUGUAUAAGUUUGGUGGUGGGAAGUGUUUUCGCUUUUUUCUUGCUUUUAACCAGUGCCAUAUUUAUAGUCUCACUCUCAUCACUGUGCACUAGGUGUUUUCACUUCCAUUCUAACCUGAAAGUUCAGCUCUGGUCUUACGAAUCAUUAUUUGAACACCUCUUAAAAUCUUAUUAUCUCUUUAUCUUCUUGUGUGUUUGACAGAUUGUUACUGAAUUUAAUGUCGAGUACGCAUAACCUGCAUUUCAACUUGUAAUUAUUGAAUUAGUUUCUUUUAGGCUUUUUAAUUGGUUUGUACCUGAUUUGCUAACAUUUGGCUGUAGGGUUACUGAAUGAAAACGUGUCCCCUUUUCCCAUUUGUGUUUUAUAUGAAAUUUUUAUUUCAUGAUAGAUAUCUUUCAUACAUUAUGGAUGUGGCUACACCUACGGCUGAUUGCCUCACCUUAUUGUAUGAUUUAUUAUAUCCAGUAAAAGUGAAGGGCAAUGCCAAAAGCACUUUAAGUUAUCGAGAGGUAAUUAUUAUAUGGGUUUUGUUAUCUUGUGCAUCCAUGCACAAGAUAAGAGCUAAUCAUUGGCAUCGGGAAUGAUAAAAUACAAUAAAAAAAAUAUGAGAGAUAGUGUAUCUUGCAUUGGAGAAGGUAAUGUUUGCAGAAAAAUUCAAAAAAACCAUGAGCGUUUACCUUCUCCAAUCCACGGAUACGCACUCUCUCAUAUUUUUUUAUUGUUUUUUUAUCAUUCCCAAUGCCAAUAAUUGGUUGUUAUCUUGUGCAUCCAUAUUCAUUUCAUUAUUUUUUUGCUUUUGGAUGCAUAAUGUUUUCAUUUCAUUACUUUUUUGCUUUUGGUUUGUGAGACUAGUCUGUUACUAGAUCUACCAAGUGAACCAAGAAUUCUGGAAUGUUACUUCUCCCAUGAAUCAGAAUGUACACUGGAGGUUUACCAAUGCACAUACUACAUAGUCAAUCCUUGUGACCAUUUCUGAAAGCACAUAGAUGAAAGAAGAAGAAGGACCAGAGUAGGAGAGAUGGGCGAAGAAAAAUAUCCCAUAGAGAUGUUGAAGUUUGCUGAAGAGCAAGUCUAUGCUAAAGGCUCUCGCUUCCCUUUCAAACUCAGGUCAAAACGUUGAUUGCUUGCAAGUGCUUUUAUCUACCAGUCGUUAGCUGUUGUCCCUUGUUUUACAUGGUCAAAUUUGGAUGAAAAACAAUUGUGUGGCAUGGAAGGUGACACACACAUGAAAGAGUGAAUGUCUUUAUGUCCGGAAAAGAAAUAAAAUUCGGAAUAGUUAUAUUUUUUUCCUUCACGGAGAUUGUGCAAAUUAGAUGUAAUACCUUGGUUUUGGAGCAAGAAAUUUUGGAGCUGCUUACAUUCAUGUGCAGUAUCAAAAUACAGUUUUACCACAAUUAAAUUGUGUUGACUCUUA